UUCCGCGAAGUAUUUUACAUUGAAAUUAUAAACUUGGGGUAAAUUAUAUAGAUCUUACCCUAAGCAUGGCUGGCUGGGAGUACCAGCUGGGGAAUAUAGGAGCCUUUACGGGGGGGGGGGGAAAUAUAAAUCCCCCGCAAUUAGGGAGCACUGGUCACCCGACAAUGGGUUAGACCAUAAACGCGACCCCGACAUCUCCCUACAACUUGAAGUCGGGGUUCGCUCAACCCCUGACUGCACCCACUGGUUUUAUGACUCAACCCCCACAUGCACUCCUCGGGUUUGGGGCUCAACCCUCUCAUGCACCCACAGGUUUUGGGGCUCAACCCUCUCAUGCACCCGCUGGUUUUGGGGCUCACCCUCUCAUGCACCCACUGGUUUUGGGGCUUAACCCUCUCAUGCACCCACUGGUUUUGGGGCUCAACCCUCUCAUGCACGCACUGGUUUUGGGGCUCAACCCUCUCAUGCACCACUGGUUUUGGGGCUCAACCCCCGCCUGCACUCCCUGGACAUGGGGUUCAACCUUCCCCCAACUUGGACAUUGGGGGAAAUUAUGUCGGUUUUGUCCCGAUUUCUUCGAACAUGAUUUUCAAAAGGGGGACGAAACCGAAAAUUUAAUCGAAAGUUUGCAUGAUAUUAAUGAUACGCGACCGUACAAUGGCGGUAGGGGAAGAAUGAUGUGAGGAGAAAUAAGUACAAAUCUCGAGAUUCUACGGAAAAUUUGAUCAAAGUGAGCGUAAACUAUUAAUUAAUUUAUUAUUAUUAAACAAUACAAGAUUUAACAAUGAUGUUCACCAAAUAAUCGGCACAAUUCUUCACAAACCCUCGAAAAGCUUUCGUAAAAUCAACGUGAAUCAACCAACGUCGUUGUGUCGGAAGUUUUACGUCAACGCUAGUCGCAGGAGACUCGAUUUCAAGCGAAUACACAAUAAUACCACAGCUUCAGGCAGUGGUCCUCUGAACAGAAAAGCGCCCAGAAACACAAAAGCGGAGAAGUAAAGAUGCACAUCGACCGAGCAGGAGCGAACUUCCCCAUCCGCUCCCUGGCCUAGAACUCGUCCAAAUUGGCAAGGAGCGACCCUUGGGCUUCGACCCCUGCUGUGUGAGCUACUUCAGCAAGUGCGAG